rnacentral:lncRNA from 1 species
AGAAAAGGUUGGGUUAAUUUCACAAACGGUCACUGAAAAGUUACAAAACGGUCCCUGAAGUUUAAAACUUUCAUAAACGGUCUCUUAAGUUUCGGGCGAUUUCACUAAUGGUCACUGAAGUUUUUAAAACUUUCAUAAAUGGUCACUUCAGGUACCAAAAUGAUUCUAAUUCAAACUUAAGGAUCGAAACACGUGACCAUACAAUUUUUUAAGGACCUUCUGUGCAAAAUAUUUUCCUCCCACUUCCAUGUUCACUCCCCUUCUCCGACACCGGUGGUUCAAGGCCAAAAUCGAGCCCCCUACCGCCAGAUAAACCACCAGAUUUUUACACCAAAAACACCUCAUCAUCCCCCUCCACAAUCCUAUAUCAAUAAUCAACCAAAACACAUAAAAAAUGAAAUGAAAUUCGGGUUCAAAAAAACUGUAAUCAUGCACGAUUUUCUUCGAAUUCCGGCCAACCCACCAUCAGCCAUAUCAAAACUCCAUCAUAGGCUGUUAGUACUCCCCAAAACGAACAAAUACAUGGUCUCAUAUCAUCACAAAACAAUUUCAAUCAAAAUCGAAAUGAUACCAGUUCGAAGGCAGCCGGCAACGAACUUUCCUCUCCAAUUUUCGGCGCCGACAUCAACAAUUACGGUCGCUUACCACCACCAUUACCUUCUACUCAUCAUGGCGAACAAGAUGCACAUAUGGGUCCUCACCAAUUUAUCUCGAAUCAGCCAAUUUCUGUUCAUGCAUCUUCUACACGUGAAUGGCUUUCGAAACGAUUUCAAUUGAGCACUCAAAUCUUAUCCAACCUAUAAAUAAACAUGGGGAAACUGAAAUUCAUCAUUAAAAGAAAACAUUGGGUAUCCCUUCAAUUGCAGAAAUUACAUCACCAGCUUGUCAAAUUUUGGGGUCAAAUGCUUGAAGUGCCACCGGAAAUUGAAGGGAGGAGGAAAAUGGGAAACUGAAUUUUUUUACCUGAGGUCCUUAAAAAAU